UACGUAGGUGGCGAGCGUUGUCCGGAUUUACUGGGCGUAAAGGGAGCGUAGGCGGACUUUUAAGUGAGAUGUGAAAUACUCGGGCUCAACUUGAGUGCUGCAUUUCAAACUGGGAGUCUAGAGUGCAGGAGAGGAGAAUGGAAUUCCUAGUGUAGCGGUGAAAUGCGUAGAGAUUAGGAAGAACACCAGUGGCGAAAGCGAUUCUCUGGACUGUAACUGACGCUGAGGCUCGAAAGCGUGGGGAGCAAACAGG
rnacentral:rRNA from 1 species